AUGAGCAUUGAGGGUGAAAAGAUGCUAGACCAUGCCCUAGCAGGUCCCUGUACUGCUGCCACCUCUGCUCCAACCUUGGCCAUCUUUGAGUUCCAGAACUGCCCAGUGCAGCAAAACAGCCGUGGGCAUGGCUGUCGUGGCCGAGUCUACUGCAGCACCUUCACGAGGGAGCACUCCUCCUCUGAGGAACUCGAGGAAGACACUGAGACCAUGGUCAACUUCCUCAAGGAAGAUGACAAUGCUAGGGAGUCCCCUGAGCUGGGUGCCUAUGCAAGGAGGUUUACCACUGAGGUUGUCAUGGAGAAACUAGAGGAGAAGCUCAGCGAGAUGAAGGGGCAAGAGGCUGGUAGGGGGCCCGAGGUGUCCAGCCAGGCCAGACAGCCCCAGGAGCCUCGGUUGGAAAUGGGGGCAGCAGAGGCAGAGGGCAAGGCCAGCAAGCUCUACAAUGGAGUCUGUGGUGCUCAGGUUGCCAAGGCCAUAUUUCAAAGCAAGAAAAAACACGCCUGGAGUUUUUCUCACUGUGCGAAAAGAGGAAAGGAAAAAAUAAGUUGUAAAAUGCAGUUUGGAGCCAAGCUGCCCAGUUACAAAAGAAAAAAAGUUCAAAACAGGUAAAGAAAGUCCAAAACAGGUAAAAUAUCACAAUGUUUCUGGACACACAAAAUUAUGAUGUCAGUGCUGUAGAAGCCUCAAUUUGGGAAACCAAGUAGUAGAUUUCUUUAAGACAUUAGAG
rnacentral:lncRNA from 1 species